UAUUCCUCGGAUCCUCUUCUCUCUUUUCUCUCCCUUAUCUCAUCCAUGCAGCCAAAUCUCUCCUCCACACGCUCACCUUCUCCUCUUCUCCCCAGCAGUUGUCGUGGCCACUACCGCUACGGUGCCGACCGGCCAUGGCCUCCGCCCACCUUUGCACGUCUUUCCUUUGGGUGCCGGUGGCUGUCGCCCACCUCACCCUUUCCCUCUGACGAAGAAACAUGAUUGCAAGAAGCUGCAACCAUGGCCGUAGAAAGUUGGAACCGCGACCGCGGAUGCUGCAACGACGACAGUAGUGAGUUGGAACUGGUGACCACUCGCACUAGAACUGUCACCUCGGGAUGCUACAACGAUGACUACGGCGAGCUGGAACCAUGCCACGAGAUGUUGCGUAGGUGGCCCACGCGACCACCAAUGUUGCAACCGGCGAGGUGAGUUGCUGGGACCAGCUACACGUUUUCCUGAAUCGGUACUUGGUCUUGAUGCAUAGGCAUUACAUGUGAUGUUGAUGCUACAACCGGCGGCGGAGUUGCUAGGAUCGACAACAUGAUUUUUUGUGUUGGUGACCACUGGUGCUAUUGAUGUGGGCGACGACAAGGACAACAUGGACCGAGGCGAGACGACGACAACAACAGGGACCAGCGGCGGCGGUGCGAGGGCAGCGAGAUGGCGAUGCUUCAAGGGCAGUCGCCUCGCCUGUCCAUGGCGGCAACCGGCGGAAAUGGGCCGCAUCAAGCUAAGCCCAAGUGAGCGCCUCACCGAGGGUCCGGGGCCCAAGCCAUGCGUCGUCGUCUUCCACGCCGCCGUCCUUCCUCCGCUUCUUCCGCAGUGACCUCUCGCGCGCCGGAGCGAGUGGAGUGGAUCAGCUCUAGAUAGGUCAAGCAGAUCGAUGGUGGCCGGCGAGCACCGGCGCCGGCGGACGGCGUUGUGGAGCAGGAGGACCCAGCGCAGCGUCGGCGGCGUGGUGGUGGACAGCGCGCGCGGCGGGGACAGGGCGGCAGGCGGCCGUGGCCGCUCGGGCUCGGGUAAGAACAGCCUCUACUGUACAAUAUGUACUAGACUGAGAAUAUUUAGUCCCACAUCACUGGGGGUGAAGGGGGGGAAUAUAAAUGUUGCUGCGCAGCAGCAGCCCAAGUACUGUUCUUGGUAGAACCACAGUUUACUCUUUAAACUUAGAAUUACCAACAAAAUUUUGCUCUUUAAACUUAGAAUUACCAACAACAUCUUGACCUGCAGGUUCUUUUGUUAACAAUUUGUAGAAUUUGAGAUGACCACCGUUACUCUGCUUGGAAUGAUAUUGUUCCACAGUAGGACAUCGUUUACUUCUGUCUAUACAUAGGUGCUCUUGAUUUUUUUUAACAUGGAGUAGAUGUUCCUUGUAGAAUUUUGUUUGAUGCAAUGAAUGACUCUGGUAGCGUCUCGGACAUGAUUUGAGAUCACAGAUCAGGAUUCUCAUGGCGCUGUCCGUGACUUGCAUGACCCAGUACUUUUGUUUUGUCAUCGACCCGGUACCUUCUCAUGGAUGUCAGAAAUUAUUAGGUCCCUUUGAAUUGUUCUGAUCAUGUAUGUUGCCACAUCCAGGACCUCUGAUGAUUUUUCAAUUGGAGCCUUCCGGUGUUACCUAUUGUGCUGUUCAUAGACUUGGAAGUUGAAUAUUGCAAUGCUGGUACAUUGCAGUGCAUGCAAGAAAACUCUGUUUCACAUACCAAGUUUUUAUCUUGUCAUUUUCUUACCGAUUGAAUCUUACUAAUGUGGCUAUUGUCUAUCAUAAUUGCAGCAGCCCUCACUGCAGUUUCGCACCAAAUUACCAACUAGUGCCUAAAUGGGUUGGUAGAAUUGUAGAUGAUAGGUGUGGUAGCACUGUAUCUGUUACUCAUUUGCUAUUUGGCAGAUUGGCAUUCCUUUUUCUAUUUACAUGUUUACCUUUACAAAAGUAUGACCUUUAAGUUGAUGAAAUCCUAUGUUUUCAGCUGAGAUGCGUGCACGUGAUUGGUAUAAUAUUAUUACAUGCCAUAUACAGCAUGUAUGGCUUCUUCAGAACUUUGUUAUUGGUUAACAUGUUCAGAUACCAUCUUCAGGCACUGAGUCAAUAAGUCUUGUGCAAUAAACAGGGCGUGGUAAUUUUACUGUUUUAGGCACUGAAGGUGGCUGGCUUGAAAAUUUUAAUCUUCAGUCUGGGAUUAGUCGUGGCAGUUACAUUGAUAGCUCACUGGCAAUGCACUGUACACGUGAAAGAAGAAGUUGGAUUAUGUUGUGAUGCUACAAAUGGCUCUCUGGUUAGUGCUGGAUACAGUGGUGACAUUAAGGUUUGAUGAUACUGUUGCACUGUAGUUCAAUUACAGCUUAUUUUAUUUUUUCAAAAAAUAUUGCAGUUUGUUUUAGUGCCUGUUUAGUAAGUGCAUAUACUUUAUGGAAUGCUAAUGUCACUUCAUUUCAUCUUCCAUGCUCUUAUCCAUUGGUAAAAAUUAUGUUCCUCU